rnacentral:rRNA from 1 species
CCUACGGGUGGCUGCAGUGAGGAAUAUUGGUCAAUGGGCGCGAGCCUGAACCAGCCAAGUCGCGUGAGGGAAGACGGUCCUAUGGAUUGUAAACCUCUUUUGUCGGGGAGCAAAAGACGCCACGCGUGGCGUUCCGAGAGUACCCGAAGAAAAAGCAUCGGCUAACUCCGUGCCAGCAGCCGCGGUAAUACGUAGGUGGCGAGCGUUGUCCGGAAUAACUGGGCGUAAAGGGAGCGUAGGUGGUUGAUUAAGUUAAAUGUGAAAGCCCAGGGCUCAACUCUGGAACUGCAUUUAAUACUGGUCGGCUAGAGUACAGGAGGGGUAAACGGAAUUUCUAGUGUAGCGGUGAAAUGCGUGGAUAUUAGGAAGAACACCGGAGGCGAAGGCGGUUUACUGGACUGCAACUGACACUGAGGCUCGAAAGCGUGGGGAGCAAACAGGAUUAGAUACCCCGGUAGUC